UCUGCUAUGAGAAAGGAACUAAAACCAAUGGAUCAGUUCCCCCACCAUGUGAAUUUAAAGGAAUGAAACAUUUCAGCCUCAUUGGUGAUGGUGUAAUGAAAGUCUUCACCUCUCUUCCCAUCCAAAGAGAUUUUGAGAAAGAGUAAGCCCAGAGUUGCCAAAUGGAUGCCCAACCCCAAGAAUUUGAAGCCAGGACAAGCAAGCAACUUCAUUCUUCAAACCCUAGAAAACUGAUCCACUCUGAACUGUGUUCUGUCUGGACCUUUUCUAAGGGAGCUCACCAUACUCUGCUGUGCAACCUACUGGUGUCUUGGUCAAGAAGUUAUCUCCAGGUACAACAC